CUACGUGCCAGCAGCCGCGGUAAUACGUAGGUGGCAAGCGUUGUCCGGAAUUACUGGGCGUAAAGCGCACGCAGGCGGUUUGUUAAGUCAGAUGUGAAAUCCCCGCGCUUAACGUGGGAACUGCAUUUGAAACUGGCAAGCUAGAGUCUUGUAGAGGGGGGUAGAAUUCCAGGUGUAGCGGUGAAAUGCGUAGAGAUCUGGAGGAAUACCGGUGGCGAAGGCGGCCCCCUGGACAAAGACUGACGCUCAGGUGCGAAAGCGUGGGGAGCAAACAGGAUUAGAUACCCUGGUAGUCCACGCUGUAAACGAUGUCGACUUGGAGGUUGUGCCCUUGAGGCGUGGCUUCCGGAGCUAACGCGUUAAGUCGACCGCCUGGGGAGUACGGCCGCAAGGUUAAAACUCAAAUGAAUUGACGGGGGCCCGCACAAGCGGUGGAGCAUGUGGUUUAAUUCGAUGCAACGCGAAGAACCUUACCUACUCUUGACAUCCAGAGAAUUCGCUAGAGAUAG
rnacentral:rRNA from 1 species